GAAUUCGCCCUUAGAGUUUGAUCCUGGCUCAGGACGAACGCUGGCGGCGCGCCUAACACAUGCAAGUCGAACGGUGAAGAGGAGCUUGCUCCUCGGAUCAGUGGCGGACGGGUGAGUAACACGUGAGCAACCUGGCUCUAAGAGGGGGACAACAGUUGGAAACGACUGCUAAUACCGCAUAACGUAUCGGGAUGGCAUCUUUCUGAUACCAAAGAUUUUAUCGCUUAGAGAUGGGCUCGCGUCCGAUUAGUUAGUUGGUGAGGUAACGGCUCACCAAGACCGCGAUCGGUAGCCGGACUGAGAGGUUGAACGGCCACAUUGGGACUGAGACACGGCCCAGACUCCUACGGGAGGCAGCAGUGGGGGAUAUUGCGCAAUGGGGGCAACCCUGACGCAGCAACGCCGCGUGAAGGAUGAAGGUUUUCGGAUUGUAAACUUCUUUUAUUAAGGACGAAAAUUGACGGUACUUAAUGAAUAAGCUCCGGCUAACUACGUGCCAGCAGCCGCGGUAAUACGUAGGGAGCAAGCGUUGUCCGGAUUUACUGGGUGUAAAGGGUGCGUAGGCGGCUUUGCAAGUCAGAUGUGAAAUCUAUGGGCUCAACCCAUAAACUGCAUUUGAAACUGUAGAGCUUGAGUGAAGUAGAGGCAGGCGGAAUUCCCCGUGUAGCGGUGAAAUGCGUAGAGAUGGGGAGGAACACCAGUGGCGAAGGCGGCCUGCUGGGCUUUAACUGACGCUGAGGCACGAAAGCGUGGGUAGCAAACAGGAUUAGAUACCCUGGUAGUCCACGCCGUAAACGAUGAAU
rnacentral:rRNA from 1 species